rnacentral:rRNA from 1 species
GCAGUCGAACGGUAGAGGAGCAAUCCUCGAGAGUGGCGAACGGGUGAGUAAUACAUCGGAACGUGCCCAGUCGUGGGGGAUAACGUAGCGAAAGCUACGCUAAUACCGCAUACGACCCGAGGGUGAAAGCGGGGGACUCGCAAGAGCCUCGCGCGAUUGGAGCGGCCGAUGGCAGAUUAGGUAGUUGGUGGGGUAAAGGCCCACCAAGCCUGCGAUCUGUAGCUGGUCUGAGAGGACGACCAGCCACACUGGGACUGAGACACGGCCCAGACUCCUACGGGAGGCAGCAGUGGGGAAUUUUGGACAAUGGGCGAAAGCCUGAUCCAGCCAUACCGCGUGCGGGAAGAAGGCCUUCGGGUUGUAAACCGCUUUUGUCAGGGAAGAAAUACUUCGGGCUAAUACCCUGGGGUGAUGACGGUACCUGAAGAAUAAGCACCGGCUAACUACGUGCCAGCAGCCGCGGUAAUACGUAGGGUGCAAGCGUUAAUCGGAAUUACUGGGCGUAAAGCGUGCGCAGGCGGUUCUAUAAGACAGAUGUGAAAUCCCCGGGCUCAACCUGGGAACUGCAUUUGUGACUGUAGAGCUAGAGUACGGUAGAGGGGGGAUGGAAUUCCGCGUGUAGCAGUGAAAUGCGUAGAUAUGCGGAGGAACACCGAUGGGCGAAGGCAUCCCCUGGACCUGUACUGACGCUCAUGCACG